rnacentral:rRNA from 1 species
UACGGAGGGUGCGAACGUUAAUCGGAAUCACUGGGCGUAAAGCGCGCGUAGGCGGUUUGUUAAGUGGGAUGUGAAAUCCCCGGGCUUAACCUGGGAAUUGCAUUUCAAACUGGCCGACUAGAGUACGGUAGAGGGAGGUAGAAUUUCCUGUGUAGCGGUGAAAUGCGUAGAUAUCGUGAGGAACACCAGAGGCGAAGGCGGCUACCUGGACAAUUGCUGACGCUCAGGCACGAAAGCGUGGGGAGCAAAAGGG